GAUGAACGCUGGCGGCGUGCCUAAUACAUGCAAGUCGAGCGAACAGACGAGGAGCUUGCUCCUCUGACGUUAGCGGCGGACGGGUGAGUAACACGUGGAUAACCUACCUAUAAGACUGGGAUAACUUCGGGAAACCGGAGCUAAUACCGGAUAAUAUAUUGAACCGCAUGGUUCAAUAGUGAAAGACGGUUUUGCUGUCACUUAUAGAUGGAUCCGCGCCGCAUUAGCUAGUUGGUAAGGUAACGGCUUACCAAGGCAACGAUGCGUAGCCGACCUGAGAGGGUGAUCGGCCACACUGGAACUGAGACACGGUCCAGACUCCUACGGGAGGCAGCAGUAGGGAAUCUUCCGCAAUGGGCGAAAGUCUGACGGAGCAACGCCGCGUGAGUGAUGAAGGUCUUCGGAUCGUAAAACUCUGUUAUUAGGGAAGAACAAAUGUGUAAGUAACUAUGCACGUCUUGACGGUACCUAAUCAGAAAGCCACGGCUAACUACGUA
rnacentral:rRNA from 1 species